rnacentral:lncRNA from 1 species
CUGCCAUUUCUAAUGACCUCCUAUAGAAAAAUUUAUAAGUUACUGACAAUAUGCAAAACUGGACUCGAGAAUUCAAAAAGAGUGGUUUUGUGAUUGAGGCACACCAAAAAAGAAGACUGUAAUGUGCUUCGGCUGGUGGUAUCGCUAUGAUCCGCCUUUUGGCAUUAUCAGUUACAAAAAAAGAAGAAGAGAAAAAAAGACUUAUCUAAUAUAUGAAUCAAGGUGUUAAAAUUGUUAUCUUAGAAAGUCGAAGGAGUCUCUAUCCAGCCAACAUUUGAACAGCCUGUUUUUCUUUUCCAGACCCUCACAAAUCCGGAUGUAUUACCCGAUGCAAAAUCAUCGAAAACCAUUGGUUGUCAGGUUAAUGUGCGCCCUAAUUUCAGAUCGGUCAAACUCCAAGUUAGGCCCCUGACAGCCUCAGCUGAGUGUCAAACAGACUUAGCGCGGGUAAUAGCUUAAGCACAAAAUUAUGUCUAUUUUUCAAUUUCAUUUUUGUUCUUUCUUUUCUGUUAAAAAAUAAACUAGGAUCAAGGAGAAUCAUUUACAAUCGAUUAGUUAAAUUUGACUCAAAUUGCAAUGCAUUACAGGUAAAGAUACCAAUGGAGAAAUUGAAAGUGUCUGAAAUUUGAUGAAUUUCGUGUUUAAGUGGAAACUGCUGAGUGAACUGAACACAAGGAUACCCUUGGUUCAUGAAUUGAACAAUUAUUGGAGAAGAUAUGACAAAAUGAUCUAAUCUGCUAAAAUAUGUGUGUUUAAAUGGGAACUGCCGCCAGAUGAUGUCACUAGGCGGUGCAUUUUCUCACUUUUAAAUCUGUUUUUUAUACUAUUUCCUAUGACGGAAAAAAAUUAUAAAAAUACUGUGAAAUCAGCUCUUUAAGCACUUUUAGAUGAAGCAAUAAAAAAUUUGCAUGCAAAUUCUCCAUUCAACAAUGAAUUUUUGUUAAUGGAAUAGAUCAUAAAAGAAGGUAUACUAAUGUAGAGUUCUUGCAAAAUGAGUUGGCUGGCUUACAGAGUGCAACAGAUUAUGCGCAAUCCUUAAAUUUCGAUGUUAAACAAAAUGGAAGAAUCAAUGUGGUGAAGCUUGUGCACUCUGGAAGUUAUCGUAAUAAUUUUGGGAGAACUCUACAGAUAUGAAGGAAAAGUCAAAAAGUUCACCAAAAAAAUUGACUUUUUUUCAGUUACUUUAAAAAGAGGAGCGAAAAAUAGUAACAAAAAUAAAUGUACAGAAUAUAAUCAUCAGGUAUUUGCAAUUCUCUUUUAUUCAUGAAAUGGACAUAAUUCCAUAAUUUUUCUCGAUAGAUCAUAUAAUUAGUUAUGCAGCAUUAAAACAAGAAACAUCAAAAUUUUGUCAGGUAUACUUUGUAACCAAUUUCAGCUGUCAGUUUGCUCAAUAGCUGCAAAUAUUCUCAACAGGGCAAGUUCAUGCGAAAAGUUCAAGCUUAUUUGAGUGAUACUAUUGGUACAGGCUUCAUAUCUAAAUAGAAUAAAAUGUAAGCAGUACUUAACACUGCAGGUAAAUGUCUUUGAAGAUAACA